GGACUGAAGCGGUGCCUAGAGUAUUCCAGUGGAAAAGUCUCCCUUGCGUCCGGCUCUUUCUGAGGCUCCAGGCCUCGCAAACCCUGUCGCUCCUCUCCGGAGAACACUGAGAGAGCGCCCUAAGGAGAGGCCAGAGCCCUGUCUUCGAUCCCGUGCAGUCUUCCGAAGAGCGGGAAGCCGUGGCUUCCCACCUUGUUGUGACUUCAGGCGUCGGUUUCCCCAAAUUGGUGGUGUUCCCAUGAAAUAAAGAGGAACCGCCAACACUAGGCGCGUGAUGCUGCGCGAGAAACGAAAAAAUGAGUCGGUCUUUCAGGAGUUUCGGCCCAGUCUUUACAGGCACUGCAGCAGACAACUAGAGAAUCCAGAGCCGUCUGUUACGCCCACCACCCUUGACUGAACAGCAUACAGGUUUCAACUUGGAGACUUACCGCUUAGCUAGCAAGACUCUGGAACCUUCCUGGAAGGGACCAUACCCUGUGAUCCUGACAACACCAAGGACCAUCAAGGUGGCAGGGACUGCAGCUUGGAACUACCACAUCCAUCUAAAGGCAGACACAGCCACCAGAAGAAAGGUGACAGAAUGAAGGGUAACGCAAUAUCCCCAGUGCCCUCUAAAGGUGUGGCUCAUGUGCACCUUGAACUCAGACUGGCGCUAAUUUUGGGAAUCUUUAUA
rnacentral:lncRNA from 1 species